CCUCUCGUAGUUUAGUGGUCACAACACUGGUGCGUAAAGCCAAAGGUUCCGGGUUCGAUUCCCGGCGGGGGUG
rnacentral:tRNA from 1 species